AACGCACAUUGCGCCCCUUGGUAUUCCUCGGGGCAUGCCUAUUCGAGCGUCGUUUACACCCCUCAAGCCUGGCUUGGUGUUGGGGAUCGUCCCUCCCGCGAGGCGACGGCCCUUGAAUCCAUCGGCGGUGCCGGUGCGGCAUGGAGCGCAGCAGCGAUGCAGCUUCCGACCCACCGAGACCCUGCCGCGUAAACCGACGGCAGCAGCUUGCCUGUUGACGCGACCUUCUUAACGUCGACCUCGAAUUAGGUAGGGAUACCCGCUGAACUUAA
rnacentral:misc_RNA from 1 species